rnacentral:rRNA from 1 species
CAAUAGCGUAUAUUAAAGUUGUUGCAGUUAAAAAGCUCGUAGUUGGAUUUGUGGCGUACGGUGUGUUCCGGGCACUUGUUGUCUGAGUAACCUGCUGUUGCCAUCCUUGGGUGGUACCUGUGUGGCAUUAGGUUGUCGUGCAGGGGAUGCCCAUCAUUUACUGUGAAAAAAUUAGAGUGUUCAAAGCAGGCUUAUGCCGUUGAAUAUAUUAGCAUGGAAUAAUGAGAUAGGACUUUUUUGCUAUUUUGUUGGUUUGCGCAAGAAGGUAAUGAUUAAUAGGGACAGUUGGGGGUAUUCGUAUUCCAUUGUCAGAGGUGAAAUUCUUGGAUUUUUGGAAGACGAACUACUGCGAAAGCAUUUACCAAGGAUGUUUUCAUUAA